rnacentral:rRNA from 1 species
CACGUAGUUAGCCGGGGCUUCCUCCUCAGUACCGUCAUUAUCUUCCUUGAGGACAGAGCUUUACGACCCGAAGGCCUUCAUCGCUCACGCGGCGUUGCUGCAUCAGGCUUUCGCCCAUUGUGCAAUAUUCCCCA